AUUGAACGCUGGCGGCAGGCCUAACACAUGCAAGUCGAACGAGUGGCGGACGGGUGAGUAAUGUCUGGUAAACUGCCUGAUGGAGGGGGAUAACUACUGGAAACGGUAGCUAAUACCGCAUACCAUCGGAUGUGCCCAGAUGGGAUUAGCUAGUGGGUGGGGUAACGGCUCACCUAGGCGACGAUCCCUAGCUGGUCUGAGAGGAUGACCAGCCACACUGGAACUGAGACACGGUCCAGACGCCAACGGGAGGCAGCAGUGGGGAAGAUUGGACAAGGGGGGCAAGCCUGAUACAGACAUGCGGCGUGUAUGAAGAAGGCCUUCGGGUUGUAAAGUACUUUCAGCGGGGAGGCGUUACCCGCAGAAGAAGCACCGGCUAACUCCGUGCCAGCAGCCGCGGUAAUUC
rnacentral:rRNA from 1 species